CUUUUAUUUACAACACUAUUUUGUAGAGAUGUCAGGUAUUUGUUUUAAAGAGUUCAGUCUUUGUCAGAGCGUCUUGCGUUAUGUAUCUCUAACAUAAGAUGUAUUCUCACCGUUAUGUAGACUCAGUUAUUUUCAGCCAGUAAGCGACUUUUGUUAAUAUUUUGUUGUGUAAUUGUUUUUUGCAUUCCUUGUUUUAAAUUCUUGACAAUUAUUUUUAGAAAAUGACUGUUUAUUUAACACUUGAAAAGGACUCGAAUUUGGGUCGAAACGUCGCGUCGUGUAGCCGUUAAUUUAAGGGGGCAUAUACGUUUGUCGGUUUCAAAAAAUUGAUUUUUUUUUCUUUCCAUUUUUCAACAGUUUGAACCUUCAAGAAUGUUGUCUUAAAACCGUGUUUUGAAAUUCGAAUAAGUAAAGAAGUUACAACGCGUUUUGUCGGGCAGUGCACAGGCGUGCGCCUGCCGUUUCUGAAGCGGCGCGCAGGUAGAAGGGUCGGACCCUCAUGCAACGGUUUCUUUUGUCCCUUUACAAUAAAACUUACUUUUGAGAUUGAAGUAUAGGUAUUUUCUAAUAGAUGAUGAUGCUGUAAGCAGUGCUCUAAGCUGUUUUCAAGCCGAUUAUUCAUUUAGUUGGCGUCGGUUGCGUGAUACGGACGAUUCUCGUUGUUUGUGGAGUACAUGUCACGAUGAAAUAGGUGUAAAAGUUCUCGAGAGUCACAGGGAGUGAACAAAUUUCGAAAAAGUUUUACGUGCAAGCGAAAAAUGCUGCCCAAUAGGUGGCAAACGGUGUAUCCAAGCGGACGUCCGAGCACAGCAUGCGAUGCGGGAGGCCCGAAUAAGCCGUCGCCUCGCUAAAAACCAACAAAUGGAGGCAAACCUUGUGCAGGAGGAUUCCCUGUAUGGCCCAGGAAUUGACAAUGACGUAUGAACGGGCACAGAGAUAUUAUUGUAACCGCGGAAUGACGAAUCGCGUGCACGGUUAACUACACGACGGUGGAAGGGGGGGAUUUUGUAACACUAUUAUUUCAAUAAAAUUUGUAUAAGAAGU